AACGAACGCUGGCGGCAUGCCUAAUACAUGCAAGUCGAACGAUCACUUCGGUGGUAGUGGCGCACGGGUGCGUAACGCGUGGGAAUCUGCCCUUGGGUUCGGAAUAACGUCGGGAAACUGACGCUAAUACCGGAUGAUGACGUAAGUCCAAAGAUUUAUCGCCCAGGGAUGAGCCCGCGUAGGAUUAGCUAGUUGGUGGGGUAAAGGCCUACCAAGGCGACGAUCCUUAGCUGGUCUGAGAGGAUGAUCAGCCACACUGGGACUGAGACACGGCCCAGACUCCUACGGGAGGCAGCAGUAGGGAAUAUUGCACAAUGGGGGCAACCUUGAUCCAGCAAUGCCGCGCGAGUGAUGAAGACCUUAGGGUUGUAAAGCUCUUUUACCCGGGAUGAUAAUGACAGUACCGGGAGAAUAAGCCCCGGCUAACUCCGUGCCAGCCGCCGCCGUAA
rnacentral:rRNA from 1 species